GACGAACGCUGGCGGCGUGCUUAACACAUGCAAGUCGAACGGAAAGGCCCUGCUUUUGUGGGGGGCUCGAGUGGCGAACGGGUGAGUAACACGUGAGUAACCUGCCCUUGACUUUGGGAUAACUUCAGGAAACUGGGGCUAAUACCGGGUAGGAGCUCCUGCUGCAUGGUGGGGGUUGGAAAGUUUCGGCGGUUGGGGAUGGACUCGCGGCUUAUCAGCUUGUUGGUGGGGUAGUGGCUUACCAAGGCUUUGACGGGUAGCCGGCCUGAGAGGGUGACCGGCCACAUUGGGACUGAGAUACGGCCCAGACUCCUACGGGAGGCAGCAGUGGGGAAUAUUGCACAAUGGGCGGAAGCCUGAUGCAGCAACGCCGCGUGCGGGAUGACGGCCUUCGGGUUGUAAACCGCUUUCGCCUGUGACGAAGCGUGAGUGACGGUAAUGGGUAAAGAAGCACCGGCUAACUACGUG
rnacentral:rRNA from 1 species